rnacentral:tRNA from 1 species
GUGUGCGUAAUUUAAAAAAAAUAUCAAGUCGUGACCUUGAAAAUAGAU